AUUUGACACAAAAAGUUAACCAUCAAAGUAAUUGUGAUACAAACCCUCUGGGAUAACGUGAAUUCUGGUCUAGUGCCGCUGCUCCCGUCCUCAACGAAAGCCUCAUCCCCUCCCUUAACCUUGCAGCAACACAACCCAUAUUUUAUGGGAAAAAAAGGUUUUUUUUUUA